rnacentral:rRNA from 1 species
UACGAAGGGGGCUAGCGUUGCUCGGAAUCACUGGGCGUAAAGCGCACGUAGGCGGCUUUCUAAGUCAGGGGUGAAAUCCUGGGGCUCAACUCCAGAACUGCCUUUGAUACUGGAGAGCUUGAGUCCGGGAGAGGUGAGUGGAACUCCGAGUGUAGAGGUGAAAUUCGUAGAUAUUCGGAAGAACACCAGUGGCGAAGGCGGCUCACUGGCCCGGUACUGACGCUGAUGUGCGAAAGCGUGGGGAGCAAACAGG